UUCCUCGCNUAGUCUCUCCACCCGCGUUCUUAUUCUUGACAAUGUUAGCUUGUUCUCUCUACUCGGCGUUUCUCUCGCUCGCCGUGGUCUCGCUAGUUUUUUCCCAUCUCUUAUGACCCUGUCACGUUCUCUUUCUCAUCACGCUUCUUCGAAUCUCCCCUAAACGUAGGUGGCGCCCGCCCCUGUUCUUGUCUAUAGCGAGCUUUCUACGUGUGCAUUCGUCCAUAAAUGUAUGUGGACGCUGUUUGUGAUCAGUGGGAGUUUUCCUAGCUCGUCUGCGCUCUUCUCUGCGUGGAUUCUUGGUGCCUUGUACGCUACACGAGAGGUAGAUUUUUGCUCUCGAUAGCCGACUAUUCUGUUCGUUGAUCCCGCUCUCGCUAAUCCCUCCCGUUCGCGCGAGCGCUAAUUAACGGCAUAGCCCGCUAUCUAUUCAUUUUAAUCCCUUCUCCAUUGGAGGCGGAUUUGUAUUUCUCGCGUCCUGCGAUGUCCCUUCUCCAACAGGAUUACGCUCUGGGUAGCCCCUCUGCCUGCACUUUUUGAUACCGCUGCUUUUAUGUGUGCUUUGCAGGUCUCGUCGGGCUGAGGUGCGUAUUCCCUCGUGUAUCCCUCUGACUCCUGAGAUUCUCCUCUCGUCCGCUUCUAUUUACUUCGCACGACCCGAGGGAAAAGGUCUCCCUCCUCCCGAAGGAGCCCCGCAGUGAUAGGCCGUCUGGGGGUUCUCGGCCUUCCAGGCGUCAUUCCCAAUCUNAUCUGAAUGNANGAUCANCCACACUGNNNAUGAGACACGGCCCAGACUCCUACGGGAGGCAGCANUGGGGAAUAUUGGACAAUGGGGGAAACCCUGAUCCAGCAAUGCCGCGUGCGUGAAGAAGGCCUUAGGGUUGUAAAGCGCUUUCACCCGCGAAGAUGAUGACGGUAGCGGGAGAAGAAGCCCCGGCUAACUCCGUGCCAGCAGCCGCGGUAC
rnacentral:rRNA from 1 species